rnacentral:lncRNA from 1 species
GUAAUUUGUCUUCAUUGCUUUUCUUGCCCUAAGUGGAUAUCUGCUUUUCCUCUUCACCAUCUCCAUAUCACCCCCGCCCCCAAAAAAGACUUGGUGAAUGGAUGAAAGAAAAGGAAGAGUGAAAAUAGGAAUCUCAAUUAGAAGAACAAUUCACAGUUCACAGGUGUUCGUACUUUUUUCUUUUCACAGGUGAGCUACAGACAAUGAACAGCA